rnacentral:rRNA from 1 species
GACGAACGCUGGCGGCGUGCCUAAUACAUGCAAGUCGAGCGGAUCUUCAAGGGAGCUUGCUCCUGAGAAGGUUAGCGGCGGACGGGUGAGUAACACGUAGGCAACCUGCCUGUAAGACUGGGAUAACAUUCGGAAACGGAUGCUAAUACCGGAUACACGAUGCUCUCGCAUGGGAGGGUCGGGAAAGACGGUGCAAGCUGUCGCUUACAGAGGGGCCUGCGGCGCAUUAGUUAGUUGGUGAGGUAACGGCUCACCAAGACGAUGAUACGUAGCCGACCUGAGAGGGUGAUCGGCCACAUUGGGACUGAGACACGGCCCAAACUCCUACGGGAGGCAGCAGUAGGGAAUCUUCCGCAAUGGACGAAAGUCUGACGGAGCAACGCCGCGUGAGUGAAGAAGGUUUUCGGAUCGUAAAACUCUGUUGUCAGAGAAGAACAAGUCGGAGAGUAACUGCUCCGGCCUUGACGGUAUCUGACCAGAAAGCCACGGCUAACUACGUGCCAGCCGCCGCGGUAAUAC